rnacentral:rRNA from 1 species
UACGUAGGGUGCAAGCGUUGUCCGGAAUUAUUGGGCGUAAAGAGCUCGUAGGCGGUUUGUCGCGUCUGCUGUGAAAAUCCAGGGCUUAACCCUGGACCUGCAGUGGGUACGGGCAGACUAGAGUGCGGUAGGGGAGAUCGGAAUUCCUGGUGUAGCGGUGAAAUGCGCAGGAAUAUCAGGAGGAACACCGGUGGCGAAGGCGGAUCUCGUGG